UGGAUAUACAGGCAGCAAUGCACUGUAUACAUUCGGUGUCUGAUAUUCGUAUUAAGCGUAUGUUAAGUACGCCAGCCCGGAUGGGAAAGCAGCCGUCAUUUGAUGGUUGCUUUUUUGUUUCC
rnacentral:ncRNA from 1 species